rnacentral:rRNA from 1 species
UACGAAGGGGGCUAGCGUUGCUCGGAAUCACUGGGCGUAAAGGGUGCGUAGGCGGGUCUUUAAGUCAGGGGUGAAAUCCUGGAGCUCAACUCCAGAACUGCCUUUGAUACUGGUAAGCUCGAGUCCGGGAGAGGUGAGUGGAACUGCGAGUGUAGAGGUGAAAUUCGUAGAUAUUCGCAAGAACACCAGUGGCGAAGGCGGCUCACUGGCCCGGUACUGACGCUGAGGUGCGAAAGCUAGGGUAGCAAACGGG